AACGAACGCUGGCGGCAGGCUUAACACAUGCAAGUCGAACGGUUGUAGCAAUACAGCAGUGGCAGACGGGUGAGUAACACGUGGGAACCUUCCUAGGGGUACGGAACAACUCAGGGAAACUUGAGCUAAUACCGUAUACGUCCGUGAGGAGAAAGAUUUAUCGCCCUUAGACGGGCCCGCGUCGGAUUAGCUAGUUGGUGGGGUAAUGGCCUACCAAGGCGACGAUCCGUAGCUGACCUUAGAGGAUGAUCAGCCACACUGGGACUGAGACUCGGCCCAGACUCCUACGGGAGGCAGCAGUGGGGAAUCUUGGACAAUGGGCGCAAGCCUGAUCCAGCCAUGCCGCGUGAGUGAAGAAGGUCUUCGGAUUGUAAAGCUCUUUUGCCAGGGACGAUAAUGACGGUACCUGGAGAAUAAGCCCCGGCAAACUUCGUGCCAGCCGCCGCCGUAAGAC
rnacentral:rRNA from 1 species